rnacentral:rRNA from 1 species
UACGGAGGGUGCAAGCGUUGCUCGGAAUUAUUGGGCGUAAAGGGUAGGUAGGUGGUCUCAUUUGUCUGAGGUGAAAUCCUUGGGCUUAACCCAAGAAGUGCCUCAGAAACGGUGAGACUAGAGUCCUGGAGAGGGUCGUGGAAUUCCCGGUGUAGCGGUGAAAUGCGUAGAGAUCGGGAGGAACACCAGAGGCGAAGGCGGCGACCUGGACAGGUACUGACACUCAACUACGAAAGCGUGGGGAGCAAACAGG